rnacentral:rRNA from 1 species
GACGAACGCUGGCGGCGUGCUUAACACAUGCAAGUCGAACGGAAAGACCCUGCUUUUGUGGGGUGCUCGAGUGGCGAACGGGUGAGUAACACGUGAGUAACCUGCCCUUGACUUUGGGAUAACUUCAGGAAACUGGGGCUAAUACCGGAUAGGAGCUCCUGCUGCAUGGUGGGGGUUGGAAAGUUUCGGCGGUUGGGGAUGGACUCGCGGCUUAUCAGCUUGUUGGUGGGGUAGUGGCUUACCAAGGCUUUGACGGGUAGCCGGCCUGAGAGGGUGACCGGCCACAUGGGGACUGAGAUACGGCCCAAACUCCUACGGGGGGCAGCGGUGGGGAAUAUUGCACAAUGGGCGGAAGCCUGAUGCAGCAACGCCGCGUGCGGGAUGACGGCCUUCGGGUUGUAAACCGCUUUCGCCUGGGACGAGGCGUGAGUGACGGUAAUGGGUAAAGAAGCACCGGCUAACUACGU